rnacentral:ncRNA from 1 species
AAAUUAUUUAGGGAUAACAUUUUGUUUAACAAAAUUCCGUGUAUGUCAAAAGGGAAACAGCCCAAAACAAGAGUUAAGGUUCCUAAAUUAUUUGUUGAGUGAAAAUAAGAAGGUUUUUAUUAAAGUCGACAAGGAGAUAGGCUUAGAAGCAGCCAUAAUUUUAUGACCUCGUAACAGAGCGCUUGUUAAGUUAUAAAAGCAUCGAAAAUAUAACGGAUCUAAACAAUAUACCGAAACCUUGUCCAUAAAUUAAUGUAGUUUGUUAUUAUACUAUAAAGCGGCAAAUUUAUGGGGUA